CAGCACUCCCUCCUCACGCCCAGACCCCUUGCCUCCCACCCAGACAUGAGCGCCAGCCCCCAGGAAGGCCAGGAGGAUGGGCCGGCAGGAUGGAGAGCGAAUCUGAAGCCCGUGGACAGGAGAAGCCCAGCUGAGAGGUUAGGGAUGGGUGGGGCUGGCCCAGGGCCUGGUACACCAUAGGUGCUUAAUAAAUGCAGUGAGUAUGUAAUCGACCAAUUGACACGCCUAUCCAGGGAUGGACGCACCUCCCUGUGAGUAGCAGAGGCCAAGUCACCCCUGCCUGAGGGACAUGGGGGCGCUGUCCCUGGUUUGGGGGCAGCGUUGCUGCGUGUCUCACCUGGGCAUGGCAGCACCCAUGUGGGUUCACGCACCAUGUCUGCAGCUGGGGUGGAGUCUCCCCAUGUGUGCGUCCCGUGGGGCCCGGAGCUCACGCCUGGAGUCUGGUUCGCACCACAGCAGGUAGCGGUGGACACAUCUGUGUUUGCAGGAGGGUCCCAGCAGGUGUAGUCGGUGGGCUGGGAGAUGGGCUCCAGGUGGGCUCCAGGUGGGCCAGGCGGGCCAGGCCUGGGGCUGGUGGUUCAGGUUCCGACCUCAUGCCUUCUGCCCAGGACUCUGAAGCCCAAGGAACCACGGGCCCUGGCAGAGCCGAGGGCAGGGGAGGCCCCCAGGAAGGUCUCAGGCAGCUUUGCUGGGAGUGUCCACAUCACCCUGACCCCCGUGAGGCCUGACAGGACCCCGCACCCAGCCAGCCCAGGACCCAGCCUCCCAGCCAGGUCCCCCUCCCCACCCCGCCGCAGGAGACUGGCCGUCCCUGCCAGCCUCGACGUUUCUGACAACUGG
rnacentral:sRNA from 1 species